rnacentral:rRNA from 1 species
CCUACGGGGGGCAGCAGUAGGGAAUAUUGCUCAAUGGGGGAAACCCUGAAGCAGCAACGCCGCGUGGAGGAUGAAGGUUUUCGGAUUGUAAACUCCUUUUGUUAGAGAAGAUAAUGACGGUAUCUAACGAAUAAGCACCGGCUAACUCCGUGCCAGCAGCCGCGGUAAUACGGAGGGUGCAAGCGUUACUCGGAAUCACUGGGCGUAAAGGGCGCGUAGGCGGGAUAGCAAGUCAGAUGUGAAAUCCUAUGGCUUAACCAUAGAACUGCAGUUGAAACUGUUAUUCUAGAGUAUGGGAGAGGUAGGUGGAAUUCUGGGUGUAGGGGUAAAAUCCGUAGAGAUCAAGAGGAAUACUCAUUGCGAAGGCGACCUGCUAGAACAUAACUGACGCUGAUGCGCGAAAGCGUGGGGAGCAAACAGGAUUAGAUACCCCAGUAGUC